rnacentral:rRNA from 1 species
CCUACGGGAGGCUGCAGUGGGGAAUAUUGGACAAUGGGGGGAACCCUGAACCAGCGAAGUCGCGUGAGUGAAGAAGUAUUUCGGUAUGUAAAGCUCUAUCAGCAGGGAAGAAAGAAAUGACGGUACCGGACUAAGAAGCCCCGGCUAACUACGUGCCAGCAGCCGAGGUAAUACGUAGGGGGCAAGCGUUAUCCGGAUUUACUGGGUGUAAAGGGAGCGUAGACGGCGAUGCAAGUCUGAAGUGAAAGGCGGGGGCCCAACCCCCGGACUGCUUUGGAAACUGUAUGGCUGGAGUGCAGGAGAGGUAAGUGGAAUGCCUGGUGUAGCGGUGAAAUGCGUAGAUAUUAGGAGGAACACCAGUGGCGAAGGCGGCUUACUGGACUGUAACUGACGUUGAGGCUCGAAAGCGUGGGGAGCAAACAGGAUUAGAUACCCGAGUAGUC